rnacentral:rRNA from 11 species
CUCAUAGACCUAAAUAACCUAGAGGCACCAGAUCUUGUCUUUUCUUGAAAGCUAAGCAGGACCAUCCCUGUUUUGUACUUGGAUGGGAGACUGCUAAUGAAUACAAGGCAUUUAAGGCU